UGGAAAAACUGAACAGAUCUUCAGACAUACAGAUCCUUCUGCAAGCCUGAUAAAGCAGCAGCAAACUUCAUAAGAGAGAAUUGCUUAUUGUUUAAACUAAUUAGACAAAUUCUUUGGACAAUUUGGAAGAAAAAAGUGUAGCAGCAUGUUCAGAAGAGAGCUGUAUUUGCAGGGGGAGAGAAUGACGGAUCAUAAACCCCCAGGAAACAGGCAGUGGAGUUAAACAGCUGUGAUCUGACCUUGCCAUAACAGUUAGCUCUGUGCUACACAGAUGGAAACAGAGCAGGCUUUUAAUUGUGAUGAGGAAGGACUCGGCAGUGGAACAACAGAGCCGGUUAGUGUAAUUACCUGCUAUUCCAUGACUCUCAAAACAUGCAUGAUGAAAUGUGGUUUUCUGCGACACUCACCUCUCUGUGGGAAGCGCCGAUUCCUCCUUUUGCUGCUCGCUGACGGCAGAAAGGUGGGGAAAGGUGUGCGUUGCAAGGUUGUGGAGGAGAGAAGGGAUGACUCCCCCCAUUGACCCAGGCUGUUUCCAAAGCCUCUCUGUUGCGAGACCACAUGUGGAAGUGCUGGCUACUUGCUACCUCACCGGAGUACUUUUUUCACUUCAAGAGCAGGCAGUAUUGCACCUUCUUUUCUACCACAGUUAUUUUAUGCUCACAGUUUCUAUCAAGAUUAAUCUAUUAAUAAUAUUUCUUGGAAUUGUGAGUGGUGAUUCCCUGCUUCUGUAUUGCCCACUUCCCCUACCUCCUUCACAGUCUGUCCUUGUCAGAACUCUGUUCUGCUCUUGGUGUUAGCCAAAAUACCUACUUUCCUCAACCCUAAAUUUGCCUUUAACCAAUAUGAAAGGGAGAGGUUGUGACUAUUUAAUUUCCUAUAACUGAUACCAGAAUAUAGACAUUGUAACCGCUUUUAUAGCUUGUAAGGUUUAUUAAUAUAGAGAAGAUAACCCUUUCAAAAUGUCAUACACAUUAUAAAGGUUGGUUAAAUCACAUUAUUACCACUAGGUUUUUUUCAGAGGAAACGGUAUUGUAGAUCCCUUUUUUUUGGUAGCAUCUUAAGGCUCAAUGCACAAUGACCACCGCAAAUGCCAUCUACACUUCUGAGUAGAAAUGAGAGACGUGACCUGCGUCAUCAUUCACAUUUAGAGACUCGCUUAUCAAGCGGGAUACCGCCCAAGACCUUGAGAUAUGAGCAAAUGUCUAUAUUUAUCACCAACAGCCCUUUUUCCACGAACUCUUGCCAUGUGAUGUCAUAGCAUGGGUUACAUCUCUAAUGACUAGUGCACCCAUACAGUGGAUAGGAUUUUAAUAAGAUUUUAACAUCACAGUACAGCAGAAGCUGAACAACAAAUUGUGAGGCAAAGCUCUCCGAGACACAGCCCUUGUUUUAUGCAGCGUAUUCACACCUCAGAAGUUAAGUGUGGAUACACUUUCUCUCCUUUUAAUGUUAGUGAUACAUUUAGGGAUGAACAAAGUAGGUAGCCUGGUUAAUAUCAACACCAACACUUAAGGCAUCACAAAACAGCAUCAGAAGAAUAAAAAAAGAGACUGGGAGUGGGAAAGAGCAAAAUUGGUUCUUUUGCCAGUGCUGUUGGCUUGUGACAUCUUUACAGGUUCAUUAACUAUACCCCGAAGAAGUUACCUGUAACUUCAUAAUUUUAUGAAAGAAAUGAUGUGAGAUGGUAUGAUACGAUAUGAGCACCUGCAGGCAAUAGAGGAUAAAACUGAUGAUUCAGGAAGUUCCUUCUAGUUCCAACUUAUAUGUAUUUCUUCUCUGUAUUGGAAGAUCUUUGAUAGAUACUUCUAUUUUCUAAUAAUUUUAAAAUUUUGUCCUUGAUAUACCUCUUCAAACUAUUAAUAAACAUUUCAUUUUCCAGUUACGUACAAAGAGCUAUUAAUUCAUUAAAUAUUUCAGCCAGAAAUAUCUUUGGCUGAGGGCUGUUAUGUUAGCAUAAAAAAAAAAGCAGUGGAAACGCUUAUUCAGUGUCAUUCAAUACAUCAUUUAAACUAACUUCUCCCUUCUUCACUAACAAAUGUUCCUGGUGAUGUAAUUAAUUUGUUCCUUCUAUGUCAAUCACGUAUCUACUACACAUUAAAGUUAAAAGUAGUUCCACUCUCAGGCAUCUUGUUUUACGUCAGUGAAUACCACUGUUGUUCCACAGCUGUUUUUGUGAUCACGCUUUGCCUUCUAAACAAUCUCAACAAUUCCUGGAAUGUGCAGCGUAACCAGUGAUAACAGUCAGUCAGGAGAAACUUCAACCACAGGAGAUGUUUAUGCUUUAUUACUGCAGAGAUUUUUCUGAGAUCUAUUCUGUAUUAGCAAAGGACUGUACAUUACCCUGUAAGGAGUAAGCCAGAAGCCCAGGAAGGUUAACCUACAGAAGAGGGUGAAAAGCACCUCCAUACUGUGUUCUCCUGGCUUUCCAAACCCCUCUAGUGCCUGUGAGGCCACAACACCCAGGCAGAAGUGACACAAGUGGGAAAUGCAGGAAUAUGCUGGAAGCAAUCAGUCUGCAUGGUGUGUUGUAUCCAGGCCACACUAAAGCAAAGUUUAGUUUUUCCCUGAUCAACAGCAGCUCUACAUGCAGCUCAGAGAAAGAGCAAAACCCAUCUUCCAUUAGCAAAAGGCACUAAAGGCACAAUCUGUCUUUUACAGAUACCCUUGCAUUGAAGACAUUCAAAUUCUUCCUUAAAAUUUCUUUUUCACAAGAACUGUAUUCAUAGCACUUGAAUGUUCCCCUCUGCAGCAGACCACUGUUUAGGACAUUAUUGUUAACGCCAGAUGUCAGACAUCUGUGAAAAUAAUCUUUUAGGUAAGUGCUGAUUUCUGGUAACUGCUGGUAUGAAAGCUCAACACUGGCCAUGAGAUGCUUGUGCUGCAGCCGUUCAAUGGGAUUUUUGUCAUUGAUCAUCCAGAGGGACUGGAUUCCACCCAGGGCAAGUAUGUGUGACUAACUCUGGGUGCUCAGUUAUGGAAAAUGUUUGGUUACGUUACACUGUCAGCAUUUAAUAACACCACAGGUAAAACACACCAAGCUGAGCUUCUCUUUCCAUUGAUUGCACAUGGGAGGUAAUAAAGAUGUUAAACGUAGCUUACUAUUAACACUAGGACAGUGGUAUAAAUGUUUGUUGUGUCUCUCAGUUACCUAGUAACAGAUUUUGAUUGUGUUUUAACC